rnacentral:rRNA from 1 species
AACGAACGCUGGCGGCAUGCCUAACACAUGCAAGUCGAACGAGACCUUCGGGUCUAGUGGCGCACGGGUGCGUAACGCGUGGGAACCUGCCCUUAGGUUCGGAAUAACUCCCCGAAAGGGGUGCUAAUACCGGAUAAUGUCUUCGGACCAAAGAUUUAUCGCCUUUGGAUGGGCCCGCGUUGGAUUAGCUAGUUGGUAGGGUAAAAGCCUACCAAGGCGACGAUCCAUAGCUGGUCUGAGAGGAUGAUCAGCCACACUGGGACUGAGACACGGCCCAGACUCCUUCGGGAGGCAGGAGUGGGGAAUAUUGGACCAUGGGCGGAAGCCUGAUCCAGCAAUGCCGCGUGAGUGAUGAAGGCCUUAGGGUUGUAAAGCUCUUUUACCCGGGAUGAUAAUGACCGUUACGGGAGGAUUAGCUCCGGCUAACUCCGUG